CUCACCUUCCUCCUCUCUAUGUUUAGGUCAGCCUUGUUGAGAAUUUGCAUGGAACCUGUCUACUCUCUUUAGUCUUCAUAUACUUUCAUAGGAAACUCCCUAUCCAUGACAAGAGCAGCAAAUGGUAAAUGUUCACUGGAAAAAUAUUCAAUAUCUGAGGUCGAGGCUCGCUGGGUGAGGAGUCUGCAGAGGGGCCGCAGAGAAAAGAACUUCAACACCUCAUGUUCUUCAGCACUGCAUGGAAAGAAUAACAGUUCCAUCGAAGACUCUCCACAAGGUUUAGUUCUUGGUGAGCUAUUUCUGAAGUUAAUGUGCACAUAAGGGAAAGAUUUCCCCUGCUUUGCAAGUCCUGUCUAUUAAAGCUUUCUGCAAUGAGGAGACGGUAUUGCUGAAUGAUGUUUUUAUUGUUUUUCUAAGAAAUUGCCCAU
rnacentral:lncRNA from 1 species